rnacentral:lncRNA from 1 species
AGUUCUGCAUUGCAUCUCAUGGAAGUGGAAACAGGAAAAUAAAAAUGUUCAAACUCCUUGGAUGUUGGGAUAAACUCACCUGAACCCACUUGGGUUCGGGCUGCCUCCUUCUCUUCCUUCAUUGCCACGUUUCCUCUGUGUGGCUCCCGGGUCCCUAGGAGGUUUGCUAUACCUGGGAGGACCCUGGCAUUCUAAAUUUCAGCUCCGGGAAAGAGAAGGGGCUUUUUGCCUUUUAUCUUUUUUUUUUUUUUUUUCUUUCUUUAAGUAGUAUUUUUUUUAACUGAUUCAUUGUUUGGAAAGCGCAUAUUGCUUCCCUCUUCCCCGA